AAGCCAUGAUGAGGGCAUUGGUUGGUGUAACCCUUGAAACGCUCCCAUGCUUCACAGAAGCUUUCACCAAGUCUUCUGUGAGAAACCAGAAAUAUCAUUUCUGAGUCU
rnacentral:snoRNA from 1 species